GAUGAACGCUGGCGGCGUGCCUAAUACAUGCAAGUCGAGCGAACAGACGAGGAGCUUGCUCCUUUGACGUUAGCGGCGGACGGGUGAGUAACACGUGGGUAACCUACCUAUAAGACUGGGAUAACUUCGGGAAACCGGAGCUAAUACCGGAUAAUAUUUCGAACCGCAUGGUUCGAUAGUGAAAGAUGGCUCUGCUAUCACUUAUAGAUGGACCUGCGCCGUAUUAGCUAGUUGGUAAGGUAACGGCUUACCAAGGCAACGAUACGUAGCCGACCUGAGAGGGUGAUCGGCCACACUGGAACUGAGACACGGUCCAGACGACUACGGGAGGCAGCAGUAGGGAAUCGUCCGCAAUGGGCGAAAGCCUGACGGAGUAACGCCGCGUGAGUGAUGAAGGUCUUCGGAUCGUAAAACUCUGUUAUUAGGGAAGAACAAACGUGUAAGUAACUGUGCACGUCUUGACGGUACCUAAUCAGAAAGCCACGGCUAACUACGUG
rnacentral:rRNA from 1 species